UACGUAGGUGGCAAGCGUUGUCCGGAAUUAUUGGGCGUAAAGCGCGCGCAGGCGGUCUUUUAAGUCUGAUGUGAAAGCCCACGGCUCAACCGUGGAGGGUCAUUGGAAACUGGGGGACUUGAGGACAGAAGAGAAGAGUGGAAUUCCACGUGUAGCGGUGAAAUGCGUAGAGAUGUGGAGGAACACCAGUGGCGAAGGCGACUCUUUGGUCUGUAACUGACGCUGAGGCGCGAAAGCGUGGGGAGCAAACAGG
rnacentral:rRNA from 1 species